rnacentral:rRNA from 1 species
UACAGAGGUUGCGAGCGUUGUUCGGAAUUAUUGGGCGUAAAGCGCGUGUAGGCGGGCUGGCACGUCGAAUGUGAAAGCCCUCGGCUCAACCGAGGAAGUGCGUUCGAAACUACCGUUCUUGAGUAUCGGAGAGGGUGGCGGAAUUCCCGGUGUAGAGGUGAAAUUCGUAGAUAUCGGGAGGAACACCAGUGGCGAAGGCGGCCACCUGGACGAAUACUGACGCUGAGACGCGAAAGCGUGGGGAUCAAACAGG